UACAGAGGUCUCAAGCGUUGUUCGGAUUCAUUGGGCGUAAAGGGUGCGUAGGCGGCGCGGUAAGUCGGGUGUGAAAUCUCGGAGCUUAACUCCGAAACUGCAUUCGAUACUGCCGUGCUUGAGGACUGGAGAGGAGACUGGAAUUUACGGUGUAGCGGUGAAAUGCGCAGAUAUCAGGAGGAACACCGAUGGCGAAGGCAGGUCUCUGGGCCGAUACUGACGCUGAGGAGCGAAAGCGUGGGGAGCGAACAGG
rnacentral:rRNA from 1 species